rnacentral:rRNA from 1 species
UAGGGAAUCUUCGGCAAUGGGGGCAACCCUGACCGAGCAACGCCGCGUGAGUGAAGAAGGUUUUCGGAUCGUAAAGCUCUGUUGUAAGAGAAGAAUGUGUGUGAGAGUGGAAAGUUCACACAGUGACGGUAACUUACCAGAAAGGGACGGCUAACUACGUGCCAGCAGCCGCGGUAAUACGUAGGUCCCGAGCGUUGUCCGGAUUUAUUGGGCGUAAAGCGAGCGCAGGCGGUUUACUGGACGACAACUGACGGUGAGGCACGAAAGCGUGGGGAGCAAACAGGAUUAGAUACCCUGGUAGU